GCUUUCGUGGCUCAGUUGGUUAGAGCGUUGGUCUCAUAACAAAUGUUGUGAUUUGAUUCCAGAUCAGAGUAAUCCAAAGGUCGAGAGUUCGAGCCUCUCCGAGAGCA